GCAAUGAGGGAGGCUCCGUGGGCAUGGGACCCUCCGAGCCAGAUUCCAUUGAAAAGCUGAUGAACAUCUAAAAAGAGAGAAGAUGGAGGUGGCUAUGUAAGAAGGAAGGUGAAUGGCCUCAAGGAGCUGAGAGAGACUCCCAGGUGACAACUAGCCAACAACAGAGAUCUCAUUCCUACAACCUCAAGGAACAGAAGUCUGCCAACACCCUGAAUGAGUCGGAAAGUGCAGUCUUCUUCAGAGCCUUUAGAUUUGAGCCCAGCUGGCUGACACCUUGUUUUCAACCUUGGGAUACACUGAGCAGAGCCCAGAAGAGCCUGCCUGAAUUCUUAACCUACAGAACUGUAAGGGAGUAAAUGAGUAUUUUAAGCUGUGACCACAGCACUAGAAAACAAACAAAAUCUAAAUGUUUUCAUUUAAAAUAAUAUUUAAAUAAUGUCAUUUAAAAUAAUAU